rnacentral:rRNA from 1 species
AGCUCCAAUAGCGUAUAUUAAAGUUGUUGCAGUUAAAAAGCUCGUAGUUGGAUUUUGGGCUCAUCGUGGGAGGUCCGUCUUCGUUGAUGUGUACCGCCCGCGGGUGCUUUUCCUUCUCGUUGCGUGCGCGUGCCAUUAAUUUGGUGCGCGACUGCGCACGGGAUCGUUUACUUUGAAAAAAUUAGAGUGUUCAAAGCAGGCCCAAUGCGGCCGUUGAAUAUUUCAGCAUGGGAUAAUAGAAUAGGACUUGUAUCUUAUUUUGUUGGUUUUCAAGAGACAGGUAAUGAUUAAAAGGGAUAGUUGGGGAUAUUAGUAUUGUGAAGUCAGAGGUGAAAUUCAUGGAUUUUCACAAGACUAACUUCUGCGAAAGCAUUUAUCAAGGAUGUUUUCAUUAAUCAAG